rnacentral:lncRNA from 1 species
CAAUUUCUGAUGAUUAUGUUGUUUACUUGCAGGAACAUGAUUUUGAUGCUGACUCAUCAUCUGAUCCUAUUACCUUUCAAGAGGCCAUCAGUUGUUCAGAAUCCUCAUCUUGGAUACAUGCGAUGCAUGAUGAGAUGGCAUCUAUGUAUCAUAAUGGGGUUUGGGAUUUAGUUGAGUUGCCAGAUGGAUACAGGCCAAUUGGUUGCAAAUGGGUUUUCAAAACCAAAAGAGAUGUCAGAGGUCAGGUAGAGAGGUACAAGGCCAGGCUUGUGGCUAAGGGUUUCAGUCAAAGAGAAGGCAUUGAUUACACUGAAACCUACUCUCCUGUUUCUACCAAAGACUCUUUUCGUAUUAUCAUGGCAUUGGUAGCUCAUUUCAAUUUAGAAUUGCAUCAGAUGGAUGUGAAGACAGCUUUUCUCAAUGGGAGCUUGUCUGAAGAUGUAUACAUGGUGCAACCUGAUGGUUUUGUUGAGUCUGGUAGAGAAAACAUGGUGUGUAAGCUUAAAAGGUCCAUUUAUGGACUUAAGCAAGCAUCCAGACAGUGGUAUUUGAAAUUUCACGAUAUUGUCACCUCUUAUGGGUUCCAAGAGAAUGCCGUUGAUCAGUGUAUAUACUUGAGAGUCGUCUGACAUUAAGAGAAGAACGUGUGGUUUUGCCUAUUCCAUCUUUUCCGACUUCUGCGAUGGGAUUACCACAUAUUGAUGAUUCUUCUGUUGAUCCUGAACUUCAUCAUAAUAUGGAGCCUAUGAUUGUAGAGGAUGAUGGUACUGAUGUGCCAUUGAGGAGAUCAGAGAGGAUCAGGAGACCUGCAAUUUCUGAUGAUUAUGUUGUUUACUUGCAGGAGCAUGAUUUUGAUGCUGACUCUUCAUCUGAUCCUAUUACCUUUCAAGAGGCCAUCAGUUGUUCAGAAUCAUCAUCUUGGAUACAUGCGAUGCAUGAUGAGAUGGCAUCUAUGUAUCAUAAUGGGGUUUGGGAUUUAGUUGAGUUACCAGAUGGAUGCAGACCAAUUGGUUGCAAAUGGGUUUUCAAAACCAAAAGAGAUGCCAGAGGUCAGGUAGAGAGGUAUAAGGCCAGGCUUGUGGCUAAGGGUUUUAGUAAAAAAGAAGGCAUUGAUUACACUGAAACCUACUCUCCUGUUUCUACCAAAGACUCUUUUCGUAUUAUCAUGGCAUUGGUAGCUCAUUUCAAUUUAGAAUUGCAUCAGAUGGAUGUGAAGACAGCUUUUCUUAAUGGGAGCUUGUCUGAAGAUGUAUACAUGGUGCAAC